GAAUCCAACGGCUUCAUGCACACUUCUGUGUUGGGACCCCUGAUCAUAAUGGAUCCAUCGCAACAAAAUGCCCACAAUGCAUCGGAUGUUUCCAUUGCUGACCAAGGAAGUCCAGUCUAAGAUUGGGGAGACUGAACAGAGGGCCCAGGUGGACGACAUCCAUAUGCAGAUUAAAGUUGUCUAUAAUCUCUGUAUAAAUAAAACUGUUGUUAACUCCUGUUGAGUAUACAACGAGUAUCUUUACUUCA